rnacentral:rRNA from 1 species
AAUUUAAGCAUAUCACUAAGCGGAGGAAAAGAAACUAACCAGGAUUCCCCUAGUAACGGCGAGUGAAGAGGGAUUAGCCCAGCACCGAAGCCUGCGGCAGUUUUGCUGUUAGGCAAUGUGGUGUUUGGGUCGGCUCGUGGGAUUGCCACUCCAUUCGAAGUCCAGCAUUGAGUAUGGUCACUGGAUUUGGCCCAGAGAGGGUGAAAGGCCCGUACGAAUGGAGGUUCAGACAAGUAAGGCAGUUCACCAGGCCGGCCUUAGAGUCGGGUUGUUUGAGAAUGCAGCCCAAAGUGGGUGGUAAACUCCAUCCAAGGCUAAAUACUAGCACGAGUCCGAUAGCGAACAAGUACCGUGAGGGAAAGUUGAAAAGUACUUUGAAGAGAGAGUAAACAGUACGUGAAACCGCAUGCAGGUAAACGGGUGGCGUCAAGCUGCAAGCCCGGAGGAUUCAGCUGGCUAGGAUGUUGUAUAUGCGCCUGGCGCAUCUAUCAGUCGGAGUAGGAUGUGUUAGUCCACUGGGAUACGGUGGGCCCGGCCGCAAGGUUGGGAUAUGUGUACCGGGUGUUUGCCGGAGCAUGCUAUCCAUCUGUUGGACUGUCUAGUCAGUGCACUUUCUCUGUGGUGAACACCACGACCGGUGGUAUUGCCAGUCUGCUGUAGCCAAGUCGUAUUCAGUGGGUUCUUGUAAUCAACUGGGUGCGAUCACAGGCAAACUCAGUAAACGGCGUAGGGGUGUUUCGGCAUCUCUGCGUGUUAUCGGCUACUGGUUGUCAACGGGCCUGCCUGAUGAUUGUUGUAAUCGUCGUCGGGUGGUCUGGUGGGUUAUGGUGGUAUGAAUAACUGUGCAAGGCACCGGAGUUCUCGGCCUCAAAUGCAUCCUGCGCACACAUUACAAGUGGAGCGGGGUGCCAUUGUAGCCUGCCUAAUGUUGGGUCUGAUUGUCGUGUCGCCUGCGAAAAGUGGGCCCGGCAGUGGCCUGAUGUGGGAUGGGUUGCGGAUGGUGCCUCCUGUGUAGGGUGCUGUUGGCCAAAUAGUCAGUGGUGUAGUGGUAGACGAGCUACCCGACCCGUCUUGAAACACGGACCAAGGAGUUUAACAUGUAUGCAAGUCAAAGGGCCCUACGAAACCCCAAGGCGCAGUGAAAGUAAAGCUUCGACCUGUUCUCGGAGUGAGGUGAGAUCCUGCCGUUACUCGCAUCAGCCUUAUGUCAGCAUCAGGCUAAGAGCGGUGGGCGCAUCACCGGCCCGUCCCAUGAUGUGGUCAUUGGAUUUCUGUAGUCGUUGCUUGCAGCGGCUGUGGAGCCAGUGCGUCAUCGGGGCGGAGCAUGAGCAUACAUGUUGAGACCCGAAAGAUGGUGAACUAUGCUUGCGUAGGUUGAAGCCAGAGGAAACUCUGGUGGAGGACCGCAGCGAUUCUGACGUGCAAAUCGAUCGUCAAACGUGAGUAUAGGGGCGAAAGACUAAUCGAACCAUCUAGUAGCUGGUUCCCUCCGAAGUUUCCCUCAGGAUAGCUGGCGCUCAUUCGCAUGAUCAGUUUUAUCCGGUAAAGCGAAUGAUUAGAGGUACUGGGUUCGAAACGAGCUCAACCUAUUCUCAAACUUUAAAUGGGUGAGAUGCCCGGCUCGCCUAAUAGGAGUCGGGCGUUGAAUGUGUGAGUGCCAAGUGGGCCAUUUUUGGUAAGCAGAACUGGCGCUGUGGGAUGAACCAAACGCUCGGUUAAGGUGCCUAACGCGACGCUCAUGAGAUACCACAAAAGGUGUUGGUUAAUAUAGACAGCAGGACGGUGGCCAUGGAAGUCGGCAUCCGCUAAGGAGUGUGUA